CAUAAUCAUUAGUCUUUUAAUUUGAGACUGGAAUGAAAGAGUAAACCAGGAGAAUUUCUUUUUAUCUAAGAAAAUGAAAUUUACUUUUUAGUAAAAAGGCUAAAAUAAGUCUUUUAGACAAGAAGACCCUAUAAAACUUUAUACUUUUCUUAAAGAAAUNNNUAAAGAAUAAGUAUUUCACUGGGGCGGUGGGGGAAAANANNUCUUCCCUUAAAAAGAGAAACUAACUAGUUUUAAUACCCAGAAAUUCUGAAAUAGAAAUAAGUUACUUUAGGGAUAACAGCUUAAUUCACUUAGAAAGACCAAAUUGACGAGUGAGUUUAUGACCUCGAUGUUGAAUUAAAAAUCCUUC
rnacentral:rRNA from 1 species